AUGCUACUUAUUCACUGUAGAAAGGAGUUGUCUCUCCAUUUUAGAACUGAUGAGUUUCUUGACUGUAUUUUCCCAUUCCAUCUCUGUCAUAAACUCCCUUAUGUCCUCUUAGAUGCUGAACCCCUCAAAGCUUAUCCAAGAACAGUGGAAGGAAACAAAAGAAGAGGAGAACGUUGCAGAAGGGCUUCUUCGACAGGGAGACAAGUCUAUGACGUUUCCCCCUUCACUGUGUUCAAAACAAAUCAAUAUUGUGUGCCACAGUUUACCAUUCCUUUACAUUUGUCUUGUAAAUCUUUGUGUGUUCAAAAACGUUAGUGUUUUUAGUUUUAUGUGUCAGAAGCUGCUUUGUGAGGCAAUCUAAAGAAAUGUAAGCUUUUUAUUUGUUUUUGUGUUUUUAAAUGUCAAGUAAUACCAGCAGAUAUAGGAGAGGUUAGUUUGACUGUAUGUGAAAGCAACGGAAUGUUUCUGUCCAGGAUGUAUCUGUCACAUUAAGAAACUAUUUUCAAGUUAUGUUUGUUUUUGAAUUUAUUGAAUGUAUUUUGUAUGUUUUUGUAUUUUUUCAAUAUCAUAAUAUUACAGUUGUUUAGAAAUGGAUAAAUUAUCCAACCAGAUAAACAAUCGAUUAAAACGUUUGUACAAUACUGCAGUUAAAGACUAUGUACUGUACAUUAGUAUAUACAAUUGAUGAGUUUAUAUAUCUACAAUAUAGGCAAAGUGAAAAUGUACUGUAUGCAUGCAGCUUUAAUUAAUUCACUUUUAUGAAAUAUACAGCAUCUGAUUAACCUUUUACUGCAGUGGGCUAAAUCAGUUUCACUUAGAGUGUUUAUUGGUAGUCUUAAACAAAUCUACUUUGAAACAAAUGUAUACACCUCACACAGAUGGUUAUGGGUUUAAACAUUUUUUAUUACGUUUUAAGUUUGCAUCCCGGCGUAAAAAACAUUUACCCAUGGGGCCACUAGGUAAUUUGACUGCAGGAAAGGGCUACGUUCAUUGGCAAAUCAAAUCUACAGUAUCUGUGUUAAAGCAUUCAAUGUAUUGCAUUAUGAUUUUAGCUAUUUGCAAUAGUCUUUAAUCUUAGAAUAUUUUCCAAUUGUGUUACUACCAGUAAAGAGAUUAGCUGAAAAUAUAAUUUUUAUCUUAUUUAUUGUUGGCAAUUUAUUCUUGUACAAAGAGCAAACAUUGCAUUGAGCAUUUGAUUAGUAAAACGCCUGACUUACGUUGUAGAAUACUGUUAUGCAUAUCAAUAGAUAGAAUUGAAACAAUGUUCAAGAAUAAAAUAUAAUCCUGGCUUUAUUUUAAAUCAUAAUAUUUAUUGCCAAAGUUGAAAUAGUUGCAGUUAUUGCAGUAUAUCAAUAUUUUCAAGCUGCAAAGUUAAUGCUUGUGUGUCAUAUUAUUUGAGUUGUUUGUCAUGGGGGCAUUGUGUCUGCCCAGGAAUGAUUGUCCAGUCAAUAACUAAAGAUGAAGCUUAACUAAUACUUGAAGGUGUCUGCUGAAAGGUAACAUACAUGGCUAUAGAAACAAUUGCAAUAGCACUUUUUCUGGAAGGGGAACAUUUAUAGGAGCUAUAUUUAUUGUUAUAAAGAUUAAACUAUAUUUCCUUUGUACAAUACCAACAACGAAUUUGUUCACAUCUAAUUUUCUAAACCUAUUUAUCUAUAAUACCUUUUUGCUUCAUUUUUAAUGAGCAGUAUCUGCAAAAUAUUUUGAAAUCUCUUGUUGAGCAUUUCUACUCUACUGCUA
ensembl:lncRNA